rnacentral:rRNA from 1 species
AUUGAACGCUGGCGGCAGGCUUAACACAUGCAAGUCGAGCGGAGAUGAGGUGCUUGCACCUUAUCUUAGCGGCGGACGGGUGAGUAAUGCUUAGGAAUCUGCCUAUUAGUGGGGGACAACAUUCCGAAAGGAAUGCUAAUACCGCAUACGUCCUACGGGAGAAAGCAGGGGAUCUUCGGACCUUGCGCUAAUAGAUGAGCCUAAGUCGGGUUAGCUAGUUGGUGGGGUAAAGGCCUACCAAGGCGACGAUCUGUAGCGGGUCUGAGAGGAUGGUCCGCCACACUGGGACUGAGACACGGCCCGGAUUCCUACGGGAGGCAGCAGUGGGGAAUAUUGGACAAUGGGGGGAACCCUGAUCCAGCCAUGCCGCGUGUGUGAAGAAGGCCUUAUGGUUGUAAAGCACUUUAAGCGAGGAGGAGGCUACUGAGACUAAUACUCUUGGAUAGUGGACGUUACUCGCAGAAUAAGCACCGGCUAACUCUGUGCCAGCCGCCGCGGUAA